GUACUAAUCCAACCUCUACUAUGAAUAUGUAUGAUGUGUUAACAUAAAAAUGGUUACUCCUGAAACAAAGAAGUCAUGCUUUGGAAAAGAUUCCCAUGCCUGCUGGCCCCAGAAUAAACAUACCUGCUUUAUAACUCAUCUCGAGUUGUAGAGUUUAUUCUGCUCAUCACAUAAGUAGAGGGGCAUAUUUGCAAGGAGGGGCGAACAGAACAGGUGACUAAAAUUGACCAACUAAGUAUUCCAUCACAUCCACGUCAUACACCCUAUAAAAAUGGGAGAUCACAAGGGUCUCGCUCUCUUCGACUAUGGCUGGCAUCUGAAGAGGACCCUGCCUGUCAUCCCUGUGAUCCAAAGCCUGGUUCCUGACCCUGCAUCUCUGAAUCCAGUUCCGGUUUUCUGCAAAGUCCAGCCCAGGACAUCCAGGUGCCCACCCUGCAGCCACUGGAGCAGUGCCAGCUCCCCCUGCUUAGCUGCGCCGGGAAAUUCAAGAUUGGUUUGGACAAAAGGAAGAUGGACAAUCCUGCCGUUCCUACCAAGGGAUGUAUGGAUGGGGUGGAAAAAAACCAAAAAUUUCCAGUUGGGACUGGGUGGUGGUUAGAGUCAGUCUUCGGAAUGAGGGUCACACCAGGGUGACACCAACAGGCCAUUCAGGAGGUGAGCCUGCAACUGGAAACACUAAUGAACUCUAUGCAUGACAUCACAUAGGCUCCCUAAAUCAUCAGCAACAUGAAAACAGAAGGGCUGUCCAAAGACAAGCUGUAUUGCACUUGAUCCUAUUGAAAGAAAAAGGCGUAUGCAGGAAGCUGUGUCUACACCCCAAGCAUCGGGGUGCUAUUGUUAGCAAUCAGGACACAUAACCACGGGCGUAGUUAUAUGCAGUGCUUUAUUUCAGCGCUGGGAAACCACGGGUUCGCACCCAAAGCUGGCUUCGACCACUGAUUCAAACUCCACUACAUUUAUACAUUUUGGUUACAUACAUAUUCAUUAGGGUUACAACGUAUGUGUUGCAUAUUCAUCAGAUUACAUUAUUAUUUCACAAUAUCAGUUGCAACCCCUUGGAACUACUCUAAGCAUACGCAGUGUCCUCUGGUGGUCGUCCAGGGGGUCUUCAGGAUGAAGUAAGGAGUCUUCUUCACUCGUGAACUUUUCACCUUUUGUCACUGCACAUGCGCACUAUUCCUAUACUCAUUAUAAAAUCAUGUAAAAUACUCAGGUUUCUUAGAUGCCCAUCCUCAGCACAUUCUAUCCGUUCAAGAUAAGAUAAGGACUUACUGAGAACUAACAGAACUAAUUUUCAGUUCUCUACUCUCAAACUAAGAGAUAAAAACGUGUAUACCACCUGUGAAAUUUCAAGAUAAGGUGAGAAUCUUGGAUACAGUUUACAAAAGCAAAAUACAGCCAACUAUAACACUAUUACAAGAACAGCUACAAGGACAAAAAACAGAGGACUCAGGGGCAGUUGUUGCUAUACUGGGGACCAACUGGUGAAAAAACUUUCAAUGCAUUUGUUUUCCUUAUCAGGAUGGCUAAACAGCCUCCUCCAAUAUUUGAUAACAACUGUAAUUAUUGUAAUUUGCACUAUUCUAUUGUUUAUUAGUAGGCUGAUUUGUAAUGAUAAUGUAUAACAGGAAAAUGACACAUAAGGUAUGAUGAUCCACAGUGGGCAUUAAAACUCACCAACAGAGUGCCCCCUUUUGACUUUGGAGGCAAGAGGUGAGGCGUGGAAAUGACUUUACAACCUGUGAGAUUGUAAAGAAGGUAUGUUUAUUUACAGCGCUGGACACACGGGAAAAUAACUCCACCUAACACACGUGCAAAUUUCCAGUAGCUGUGAGCUUGGUUAAAUGCUGUAAAGUGUUACAUAUUCAUGAAAGUUUUAGGAAUGCCUAUACAUAUUCAUAACCUGUCCCCGAGAAGAUGGUUCUUAUUACAAUGAGUUCCGGGAAAUCAUUUCCAUAGUCUCCACCUCCAGUCCCUCAUGGAUGCGCCUGCGCAGUGAUCGUGAACCGGGGUCGUCUUCGCUGUACACUUUUACCUCUGGCCUGGUGUGCUGAGUUGGCUGGGACUCGAACUGAUGAGUUGGUUAGAACUGGCGUAUCUCCUGUCCUGUGCCCAAGUUUCUGUUAUCUAGUUCACCCAAAGAUGCAUCUAGGGUUUUUUAUCUUUGCAAGGCCUGUGAAGUCCUUAGCGAACUCCUGUUUCUCAUACAAUAAGUUACACAAAGCUAAAAA